UGGCUUCUAAACCAUUUAAAGUUUAUAAUUUAUUUUAUAAACGACAAUGGAUGUCGAUGCCAAUGUAAUUUGUAACAUAGUAAAUUAGGAGGAUCUUCCAUCACCUGAUGCCGCGCUAGUUACAUAUAAAAGCAUUAUUUAAUACAAUGACAAAGCCUAGAAUCAAUUGUAAACGACUUUUGUAACAGGCAAGGUGUUGUAAGUGGUUGAGCAGCUGCCAUACUGCGAUCCACUGAAGCUUAUCCUUUGCUUGAUGAUUCGA
rnacentral:ncRNA from 1 species